ensembl:lncRNA
CAGCAUGUUCUGUGCCCUACAUGGUCAUAUCUAUCACCUAGGAUUUCCUGCUGGGCUCACCCUGAUGCCUCCUGAAAGAUUUGUGGACCAGUGAGAUUUGUGGCUCCCCAAAUGCCCAUAUAGGGAUAUUGAAAUCCCUGAAGGUUGACCAGGCCCUUAGGAGAGACUUAAAACAGACUUACUACAGUGGUCAACACCUUACCAUGGAGUUACAGAGAAUUUGUCUCUCGGAAAAGCCCUUCUGUGAGAUCUCAUGAAACACCUUUCUUCCCUUUAAGUUUGGGUAGACAUUACAUCACCUUGACGCCCAGAAAUUGUUUAGAUUUUUCCAAAGUCUCUCUCAGACCUGCUUCUAAAGGAAAUAAAUCCUCAUAAGCCCUCCAAAUCCAGACCUUUCACUUAAUUGUAAGCAAAACUGUCCAAACCCAGAUUGUAAUCAUUCCUCUAGGAUAAUGAUGUCAUUCCCCCCACCCUACCCCAAGGCUGCACCAUGUCAAGUGACAUAAUUGUACAACCCAGAAGCCAGAUACUUCAUUUAAAUCAUGGCAUUGGAAUCUCUGCUGACAACACUGAAAACAAA